AACGAACGCUGGCGGCAUGCCUAACACAUGCAAGUCGAACGAGCCCUUCGGGGCUAGUGGCGCACGGGUGCGUAACGCGUGGGAACCUGCCCUUAGGUUCGGAAUAACUCCCCGAAAGGGGUGCUAAUACCGGAUAAUGUCUUCGGACCAAAGAUUUAUCGCCUUUGGAUCGGCCCGCGUUGGAUUAGCUAGUUGGUAGGGUAAAAGCCUACCAAGGCGACGAUCAAUAGCUGGUCUGAGAGGAUGACCAGCCACACUGGGACUGAGACACGGCCCAGACUCCUACGGGAAGCAGCAGUGGGGAAUAUUGGACAAUGGGCGAAAGCCUGAUGCAGCAAUGCCGCGUGAGUGAUGAAGGUCUUAGGGUUGUAAAGCUCUUUUACCCGGGAUGAUAAUGACAGUACCGGGAGAAUAAGCUCCGGCUAACUCCGUG
rnacentral:rRNA from 1 species